rnacentral:lncRNA from 1 species
AUUAAGUAAAUAAUAUAGAUUAUUUUUGUAACAUUAAACAUUUAAAAAAAAAUAAAAUAGAGGUAAAAACACACAAAAAUAAAAGAGAUAAACAAAAAAAAUAAAGUAUUUGGCCUUUUGACCCCAAAAUAAGCCCAAAUGGCCGCACCAUCAGUAAAUAAUGGGGGUGCAAAGAGUCAGAAUCGACUCUAGGCCCAAAGGGAG